GGUCCCCGCGCCGCCACGCACCCGCAAACCGGGUGGCCAGGGGUCCAAGCUGCGCCAACUUAGGCCAAGCCAGGAAAAGUCUCGGCGCACCGUUGUGUAUCCCCCGCACCGCUUCGGCGGAACAGCCUUGGAAACUUCCUGUAGUUCAAACACUUCGGGUUUCACUCCUUUUGGUGCAGAAACUUGGAAAGUGUAGAAACCUGGCAAAAGCACGCCGUUUUAUGAUCGUCAUCUUUAAUUGAUUAUCCACACGUGUGAGUUUGACUUCUCAGCAGGAAUACUGUACUUUUACUCUCCCGCACUUCAUUUGACGUGCGAUUACUUAAAUCCCCAAAUUCCUUAAUCUUGAAAAUUACCUGUAAAUAACAUUCGUCUGGAAUACGAAAUAAAACGUGUAAGUAGGA